GGCAUUAUAGUGUAGUGGUAUCACAUGGGAUUCUGAAAGUAAUUUUCUAUUCCCAUAACCCAGGUUCGAUCCCUGGUAAUGCCU
rfam:Laetiporus sulphureus 93-53 unplaced genomic scaffold LAESTscaffold_1, whole genome shotgun sequence.